CUGUUGAAAUUGUCUUUGUCCGCAAGCAUCCUUGUCAUCGUGAUUUUCAAAAGAAUAAGGCCCAGGCUAAACCUCCGCUAUAAGACCAUGCAGGAGUCCCAGACCUACACCUUCAGCCAUCUAAGCUGGUCUUAGAAAUGCUGGUGAUAAAU
rnacentral:snoRNA from 1 species